AAUAUUUCAGACAGUAUGCUACUGAGGGCAGCUAACAUAAGAGUUAUGAGUUAUAAGAUGUAAUCUAAGUCGUAACAUUGCUGUAUGGAGCUGCAGAUUUGGUUGCAGGUUAACAUAGCUGGACUGGCCAUCGGGCAUAUCCCCAGUGACUUAUUUUUUAUUUUUUUUGUAAUGGCAUGAACAAUGAGAGGUGGUGGAUUGGCCAGAUGCAGGUCGAUGUGUAGCAAUAACUCCGUUGUUUGGUGGUGGCUAUGACGGGGCUUCCACAGAGGCAACAGGUGGAUGAGGGAAGGGGAGGCAGGAGGAGAGCCCCGAAGCAGCCACCAGUCCGAGUGUCAGGUGAACUGAACUUCAGCUCACUCUAUGUUCAUGACAUAGCAUCACCUCCUGUCUAGAAGGCUGUUUGCGUGUCGAGGAGCCUGUGCCUUCACCAGGGAAGUCUCAAAUGUCCCAGGAAUGGGUGGACCAAAGACCAGCUUUCCAGAGUCAUUAUUUUGUUUUAGGGGUUUUUUUUUCUCAUUUUGUUAGACAUGGCACAGUUGAAAGUAAAAGAAGACCACUCUAAUUUGUCAUUUGUUGUCAUAUUUUGAUAUAUUUGAUUACUUUUUAUUGGUUAUAUUAUAUCGGGUAAAAAUCACCCGGC
ensembl:lncRNA